rnacentral:tRNA from 1 species
AGGGGGAAAACGUUCCUCCCAGGACUAU